AUGGUGCGAUCUAUGAUGUCUCUUACCGAUUUACCGCUAUCGUUUUGGGGUUAUGCAUUAGAGACAGCUGCAUUCACUUUAAAUAGGGCACCAUCAAAAUCCGUUGAGACGACACCGUAUGAACUAUGGUUUAACAGUAAACCUAAGCUGUCGUUUCUUAAAGUUUGGGACUGCGAUGCUUAUGUGAAAAAGUUUCAACCUGAUAAGCUCGAACCCAAAUCGGAGAAGUGCGUCUUCAUAGAAUACCCAAAGGAAAUUAUUGGGUACACCUUCUAUCACAGAUCCGAAGGCAAGAUAUUCGUUGCUAAAAAUGGAUCCUUUCUAGAGAAGGAGUUUCUCUCGAAAGAAGUGAGUGGGAGGAAAGUAGAACUUGAUGAGGUAAUUGUACCUUCUCCCUUAUUGGAAAGUAGUUCAUCACAGAAAUCAGUUCUAGUGAUUCCUACACCAAUUAGUGAGGAAGUUAAUGAUGAUGAUCAUGAAACUUCAGAUCAAGUUGCUACCAAACCUCGUAGGUCUUCCAGAGUAAGAUCCGCACCAGAGUGGUACGGUAAUCAUGUUCUGGAAGUCAUGUUACUAGACCAUGAUGAACCUACAAACUAUGAGGAAGCGAUGAUGAGCCCAGAUUCCGCGAAAUGGCUUAAGGCCAUAAAAUCUGAGAUAUGA
rnacentral:rRNA from 1 species